UACGAGGGGGGCAAGCGUUGUUCGGAAUUAUUGGGCGUAAAGGGCGCGUAGGCGGUGCGGUAAGUCACCUGUGAAAACUCUGGGCUCAACUCAGAGCCUGCAGGCGAAACUGCAUAGCUAGAGUCCUGGAGAGGAGGGUGGAAUUCCUGGUGUAGCGGUGAAAUGCGUAGAUAUCAGGAGGAACACCGGUGGCGAAGGCGGCCCUCUGGACGGAUACUGACGCUGGAGGCGCGAAAAGCGUGGGGAUCAAACAGG
rnacentral:rRNA from 1 species